CCGGAACUGGAGGCGGAGGCUGCCUAUGGCGCUUGAAAUCGGGAUACGCGUAGCUUCUUCCUGCGGAGAGGAUUGUAGAAGACCACAAUGUUUACCAACUGGAGGAUUUUUGCAGUGAAUCGUCAGAAAACGUUCAGUGUGCACAUUCAUACCACGUGUUACUGUAAAAUAAAAGCUAAUUUAAAAAGAUCAAAGACUCAGGUGCCUCUUACAAGAAGCUACAGUUCCCCACCAGGUACAGAUGUUAAAUUCCUCUAGUUCACUUGAAACCUUGCUCUCUCUCCUUCCUUCUCACAUUAUCUUUCCUUUUCCUGAAGAAUCUUGCUUCUUAGAGGUUUCCAGCCUAUUUUAACUUCUUGGCUAUUUCCUUGAGAUUCUUAGGUGAGAGGGUUUGGGUAGAUGUGAGGCAAAUGGGUACCAGUAGAGUUCUGUUCCUCCUCUCCAGGCUUCUGAUGAGCUGAGCAAACGGAGAGUGGGCGAGGUUAUAGCUGGCUCUUAAGUUUAGUGUGUGACUCUCCUUAUUUUUAGUUUAUUGCUGAUUUUUAUGUUAGCAUGC
rnacentral:lncRNA from 1 species